GUUUCAAUUUGGCAGAGCCGAUUCAAGUUCAAACUGUGCCCAAAACAGUCAUGGCGCUAGUGGCAGGCCACAUCCUACUCCUUGGUCCUCACUUCUACUAUUGUCAGUACCACUGCCACUCCACCCGGUUGCAGACAAAACUGCAGGCAGCCAGCCAGGCAGAGGGCGCGUGAUGGCGACUGUUGAUUGAGAUUUCCUUUAUUCUCCAUGUCUAACUCCCCUUCUAUCUUUCCCCUUCUAUCUAAUCUGCUCCCCCGUCCAAAGUUAUAUUCCAAGCUUGUCAUUUGCUAUCGAGGGCCAAUGAAUGGACCUGGAACUUCACAUCCAAACUUAGGCAAACCUACAAACGGCGAGCAGUCGGCAGCGCUUCAUCGCCAUGGUUCAUGGUUUGUCGCUCUGAAAGAGUAAGGCCAAACGUUGCCGCGCAGUGAACCGGAGGGAGUAGCAAAUCGGCACGAUGAGUUAUUUUGGUUCCGUGCAGGUGCUGCUGCUACACGCCUGCGUUUGGCUGGGCAACUUGCUGCAGAAGCAACGAUAUGAAGGAGGAGGGGGGCAAAAAAACAAUUCACGAUGUGGGUCCGGACCUAGGAAUAUAUGCGUCAAAGCGCAGCGCGACACGCCUCGUCAGUGCUGGCUGGCUCCACCUCAUCGCUCUCUCCCUGCACGCGCACCACCGCCUCGUGCACUGCGUGCCAACAGCAAGCAGCGGACGCCCAAUCGCAACUCGGGACGCCUUCCGCGGCCCUGUUUCAAAAUAAAUCCUCGCUUUCUCAAUCCGCACACCCACACCGGCCACCCAUCCGCACACCCACACUAACGGCUCUCUUUGCCUGUCAUCGGCAUUCGCGUCUCCUUUUCUCCCUUUUCUCGAGAAAAAUGAAAAUCGAAAGAAAAGGGAGGAGAAAAAAAAAUAGGAAGAAAGAGAAGGAAAAAAACAAGGAAAAGGAAUAAAGCCGACAAGUUUCGUCCAAAUCAGAGAUUAGAGAUUGCAGCAGCUGACACUCUUUCUUUGCCCCCCUAUUUAUUAUCCCUCCCCUUCUCUAAGCCUAACAGAGGGAAGAGAGUACCGAGAGCCAGGGUUUCCUCCUCCUCCCGCCGCUUGAUCGUCCUUCAGGAAUCGGAUGUCGCAGCUCCUCGCUGAUUCCCCUCCGCCGACUCCGCGGAGGAGGCGGCACGAGAGGAGAAAAAAAGGUAUCUAAAUGACGACAGCUACGACUGCCUGGAAACAAUGUUCUCGUCAAGCGGAUGCAGAUUAUCUAGUCUUUUGAUUAUAUUUGUCAAAUGCAUUAGAUAAUGUCAUGCUUGGAGAGUUAGGGAAUGAAGCCAUUGGUCCGCUAGACAUCAUAUGUUUUGGGUCAUUAUAUUUGACAUCCUCAUAUUUCUCGUUCAGCUAAAUGACAUUCAAAUAUUCGGUUUA